CGUUUCUACCAGAAGCUAUUAUUGGUUCAGGCCAGGCCUGCCCAACCUGUUUGUUUCUCAUUCGGAGGAAUCCAUCUCCUUCGGGUGUCUAGUUGUUUCUUAACAUCCCACCUGGUUAAAGCGCGACGGAUGGAGUGAGACAGAGAGGUGAGAGCAGAGUCGGCAUUGUGUGGAGACGGCCUCUUCACUGUUUAUUGAGACGCUGUCAGUAGAAAUAUUAGGUCAGACAGUUUGGACAAGGUGUCGAGGCAUCUGUCGGAGGAUAAGGUCUAUUUUUAAAGGAGCAACGUCAUAGCCUUCAAAUAAGGAAGCAGCCUGCAGAGCUGCUGAGGAGUUUCUACAACAUUUUACGGUCCGUGUUACUAAUCAACAAGUUUGUCUUUCUUGUCUUAGAUAUCUUUGAUGUCUCCCAAAAUACUGCCAUCUUUUUCAUGUGAAGCAGUGACACGUUCCAUCUUUUAAUGUAAAAAAGCUCUAUUUUUAAAUCUGAAGGAAGCAGAGCCACAAGGACUCUUGUACGUUUACAUCUAAUCUAAUUUACUUAUGUUGUAUGACAAAUAAAGUUACAACUCCUUACAGAUAAACUUUUGGAAAAAAGAAGACUGAGUGGAGGCAAAAAUGGAGACGAGGAGGAAAGGAGAGAUGGGGAAGACGGGGAAGGUUUCACGGAUCUUUUUGCUGCUGCUGGUUCUGCUCAAAAUAACCACACCCUCCUCUGCUCAAAACAGCACCACUGCUUCAGCACCGAACCCUGCUGCUCUCAGUUAUCGCACACGUCCAGCUAACCUCACAGUGGCUGUGGGAGAAUCUGCAGAGUUUCGCUGUGGAGUGCCUAAGUCUUCUCCAAACAUCACAUUCACCAUCUAUAGGAGUCACGGCAACUACAGUCUCAUCUGUCCUUCUGGCCACCUAGAAGAUAUCCCCCAGGCUCUCUAUGGAAGUUGUGAUAUGACGGACGAAGAGUCAGUGGCUGUGUGGACCCUCAAGGGAACUUCAUUCUCUGACAAUGGAGCAAGCUUUAUUUGUCAGCAGUCAAACAAUCCCGAUGCAGCUACUGCCACCCUACACGUUUAUGAUGACGGCACCAGCUAUGCAACUCUCAUUGGCUGUGUCAUUGGGGGCUUCUUCGGCAUGCUGUUGGUGGCUGGUUUAUCAUUUCUAAUGCUGCGCAGAUCUGAGACCCUCCAGAAGUGCUUUUGGGGGGGAGAUACGGAAGAUGAUUUGAACACAAUGGUAACCAAGGAGUAAAAGGACACAGACAGCAGGGGGAGACUGUGUUGUUGCUGAUGUUGCUUUGUUAAACAUAUCCAGGGUUUGGCUCCAUUCACCUUCUAACUGGGAAUAGAAAAGGAAAUUAGCAGGUUUCUAUUUUAAAGUCAUUUCACUGAUCUAAGUGAGGUGAAAACUGGAUGGAACCUAAAUCUAAUCUAAGGAGGGAUCCAGUCUGACCCCCAACACAUUCCUUCCUCCUUCUGCCCUCAAGACCCUACACACAUUACUCAUAGCCUCAAGUUGUAUAAUAUAUCAAGCACUACAAAUAAUUCACAGAAAAAACUUAAGUCAGGUCUCUCUCCCCACUUAUAUCAAUAUGCACUGCCUUUAUUGUAUAUAAAUGAAAUGUAAAAUUAUUGGUGUUAGUGAAUUGUUUAAAUGCUCAUUAGUUUUUGGCCACAUGUAGUAAACAAGUUAAUAAUGUCCUGCUGCAGCCGGAGCACCAAUAAGAUCACAGAGGUCAUGUCCUUGGUAUUUUUUUCUGGGUCUUUAAUAUCUUAAUAUACAUAAUGUGGUAAUAAUCAUAAUAACUUAUAACAUCUAUCAUGCCAUUGAAAUAAGCAGUUAUAUAUAUUUUAAAAUGGCAUAUAUAUAUAGUGAAUUAAACUUUAGUUAAUACCAACAAACUAUUGAAGGUCAAACACUUACUGAUGGAGGUCCCAGUUGCGCUUGUUUAGGCAUGUUAGUCAGCUAUACUGUCACAGCUUGUCCACUUGAGGGAAGCACUUACUCCACAGAUAAUAAGCAGGACAGUUGUCUUAACACAACAGAGACAAAUAUUCACUGGAUUAAAAAAAUUUGUUUUUGUCAACUAACUAAAUUAAAAACGAAAAUAUUGCUAUUCCUUUAUUUGGGAUGAGGUGAGGUAGAUGUCAUUAUGUUGUCAGGCUGAGUGUUUGUACAGAUUUGCAUUGAGAAGUAAAUUGUCCUGAUGUGGUUUGAUGUUGUUGUACAGUCAUGGUCUUGCAUAAAGGCAAAGUAAAGUAGCUUUUAUUUCAACUGUUACCAAAGGUAAACUCAGGGAUGUUUGUGUUUUCAUGCUGGUACUGAUAUUUGUGCGCUCCAUUCCGUCCUUAAAUUUCGUGGUAUAUUUCUUAGUUAUGAUGAUGUACUUUGCUCUUGUUUAUUGUUCAUUCUUAUUGUUGAGACUUGCAAAUCAGAGCUUGCUGUCAGUGUAUGGCCUUUGAAAAAAACAUUAAAGUUACAUGAUGUCAAAAAGAGUGUGCUUACAA
rnacentral:lncRNA from 1 species